UUUUGAGGCGUUUUACGAGCUGCUACCCGAAAUUAACGCAUUUCUUCAUUUAAAAGACAAAACGGUCCCAGAGCUGAUCGACCCAGAAUGGAAAUGGCACCUCGCAUUUUUAACAGACGUGACAGAAAUACUUAACAGCCUUAACUUGCAGCUACAAGGCGAGGGGAAACUCAUUUGCGACAUGUAUUCACACAUAAAAGCAUUUGAGGUGAAAUUAGCGCUGAUUUUGGAACAAGUGAAAAAGCGCAACUUCGUCCAUCUUCCUGCUACCCAAAACCUGUCGACAGAGAACCCAGCGGUCCCGUUCCCAGCUGAAAAGUGCGUGGAAGCACUGGAAAUGCUGAAGGCGGAGUUCGGUGUGCGAUUCAGUGAACUACGUGUUCAUGCAAAAGAAAUCCGUCUUUUUCAGAACCCCUUUGUUGCCGACAUUGAUGAAGCCCAGCCUUCAUAUCAGUUUGAGUUGGCUGAGUUACAGAACUGUGAUGUUCUGAAAGACGCAUUCAAGCCCAACAGUCUCAUUGACUUCUAUGCCGCCCUCCCAAACGACACAUAUCCAAACAUCAAAAAAACACGCAAUGAAAAUGUCCACAGUUUUUGGCAGCACGUAUAUCUGCGAGAAAACCUUUUCUCGCAUGAAACUGCUGAAAACCCCGAUGAGAUCAAGAUUGACAGAUGAACUUUUGCAUCAGUGCUUGAGACUGGCUGUAACUAGAAUGGAACCUGAUAUUCAACUUCUCACCAGCCAGAUGCAGGCCCACAGUUCACACUGAUGAACAUACAUAGGGAAGUUGAUGAGAGAGAGCUGCAAACAGCGGUGUCUACAAGCCUACUGGAACCUACAAAAGGAUUAUAAGGAAGGAACACAAGAACUUUAAGAGACUGCUCAUAUGUGUCAGAGAUUCUGCUCUGACAACUGAGCUGAACUUUUAUCUGUUAAGAUUGUGCAUGGCACGACAGAAAGUUAAUGUUCCAUGGCUUUUUUUUCUAUGAAGAACCCAGAGAGAGUUAUUUAGUUAUUAUUUAUUUCCUGUUUUUUCUGUGAAGAACUCAGAGAGGGUUAUUUAGUUAUUAUUUAUUUCAUUAAUAGUGUUAUUAUUUGUUUCCUGACUUUUUUUCUGUAAAGAACCUGGAAAGGGUUAUUUGGUUAUGUUUCUGGAAAACAAUACAUUUUUUAAGCUCCCCUACGAUCGUCACACUUUUUCUGUUACAAACUGACACCGGCCCCCCAUCAGAGAAGGGAAAAGU